rnacentral:rRNA from 1 species
AAAACGACUCUCGGCAACGGAUAUCUCGGCUCUCGCAUCGAUGAAGAACGUAGCGAAAUGCGAUACUUGGUGUGAAUUGCAGAAUCCCGUGAACCAUCGAGUUUUUGAACGCAAGUUGCGCCCGAAGCCGUUAGGCUAAGGGCACGUCUGCCUGGGCGUCACGCAUCACGUCGCCC